rnacentral:sRNA from 1 species
GCUUUCAACAUCCCCGCCCGCGACAGGACAGGAUGACCGUUGCAGGGCUGAAGGC